CCACAACAUACUCGUAGUGACAAUCGUUCGCCUCCACAGUCGCAGAUACGCGGCCAAAACGUUGAAAAAGAGACGAAUAUAAACAUGCGGGUGACCCUGAGCCCAGCGUCCACUAGUUGAAAGAUAAGACAGGUGAUGCCGUUCAUGGUGGAAGUCGGGGACCAGAUGUUGAUCAACCUUAAGAAGAAACUUCAGAUAACGGUUCGCGUUGUGUGAAGGGAAGGCGAUGAUAUACUAAUUGCUGUAUCACGUGGACGUGAGUCCAGGACCAAAGACCCUCAUCCCCGCCGGACCCUGGA